UAUUCAAGUGACCUCAUAGGCCCUAUUUAAACUGUAAGGAGGAGGAGCUCUUUUCACCUUGGAGCUCUGCAAGAAUGCAGGAGGUCAAAGGCUAGGAUGUGGACAGGUGAAUAAAGAUCCUGAGCUUGCAUACAACUGUUCUUGAGUGCUUUGUUGUGUUGCAACUGCUGUUCAUAUGCAACAGUAGCCAGAAACCUCUGAAGACCUCAGAAAGUGGCAAUUGGAGUUGUAACUUGCCCAGAAUCACACAGCAAAGAAGUAUUAAGUGUCUGAGGUCAGAUUUGAACUCAGGUCCUCCUGCUUUCAGGAUUGAUGCUCUAUCCAUUAUGCUGCCCCAGUGUGCAAAUUCUUUCACCAAACCUAUAACACUGACCAGAUGAACCUUAAUCUUGUUUCUCCUUAACAACAGGACAUUUGAAAAACUAUCUCUCCUGAUUUGGACACAAUGUGAGCGUAACCAAGAACUGAGAAAGAUUGGCAUUUUUGGAUAAUGUAUCGAUCUAUUGGCCAUCAAGAAGGAAGAGUCCAUAACUAAAUGGAACUUUAAAAAAGAAAUGACCUCCAUCUUUCUGGUGCUCUUCUGCCUAGAUCCUACCACUGAGGGCAGCCAGGGGUUUUACCAUUACUGGUCUUCAGAGUACAUGGCCAGCCAUUUUCUUGAGAAGAGUCAGGAACCAGAGGAGUGGGAAAUAGCAGACAGCCUUAUUGCCAAUCUGUUACAUGUUCAGAACUCUUCUCUUGCCUCUCCGCCUGCCUCUUUAUAUCCUGUAGCUCUCAGUGCCACAUAUAAAGCCUAAAGAACUAUAGCCAAGUUAAAGCUGGGGAAGGUCUUCUCAGAUCUUUGUGCUUAUACCUGUGCAUGCAUCCCCUAUCAAGGUAUUAUGUAUAACAACAAACACUCUGAAGACCUCAGCAAUAGCAAUGGUCAACAAUCAUAAUCUCAGGGACCUGGAAAACAGGCCCUGAGUACAUGUACAAUGAGAUCUGUAAGUAUCAACACCAGUCCUGCUUAUAUCCAAUCUUAUUCAUUGCUAUUAUCUAUCAAUUUGAUAAAUUGACCCUGCAUUAA